UACGUAGGGGGCAAGCGUUGUCCGGAAUCAUUGGGCGUAAAGAGCGUGUAGGCGGCCAGAUAAGUCCGCUGUGAAAUCUCGAGGCUCAACUUCGAGCUGUCGGUGGAAACUGUCUGGCUAGAGUCCGGAAGAGGAGAAUGGAAUUCCUGGUGUAGCGGUGAAAUGCGCAGAUAUCAGGAGAACACCCGUGGCGAAGGCGGUUCUCUGGGACGGUACUGACGCUGGAGACGCGAAAGCGUGGGGAGCAAACAGG
rnacentral:rRNA from 1 species